CUUUGGCUGGGCUGGGUGUGGGUGUUAAUCUUUUCCUGUCUUGUGUGUGCUGUGCUCACAAAGGCUUUUUGCUCCCUCGGGGUGAGGUGUGGUUUUGGCCGAAGAUGAGGUGUUUUGGUAGCCCUGUGGAUGCUGUGUGGUGUCUGGAAUGGGGCGUGUGUGUUCCCAUCAUGCCCCUUCCCCUCUGCCUGCAGAGCUGAGGACAGACAGGUCUGAGGAGCAGAGCAGGAGCUCUGGGAAGGAGAAGAGCAAUAUGAAGAUGGAGUGUAAGAUGAGGCCAGCAAGGGAAAAGAAGUCGUGGGGAUGGAGUCCAGCCCUGAGGUGAGAUGGAAAGUGAUCAAGAGCAGUGACAGCGUGAAUCCUGUUGAUGCCAGGCAAGAGCUGCCCAACUGGGACAAGAGUAACCGUCUCUGUCGGCAGCACUCAGCAGAGUCUGGCCCUGUUGUUACACUGGUGCCUACAUCCAGCGCACACCUGUGCGUAAUGCGCUCCUGGAGAGCUCAGGCAGGGAGAAGCAUGUGGCUCAUGGCUGCAGAACCAGCUACUCCAAAGAGUGCCGCAGAUCUCCCCCUCCUUGGGCAGCAACACCCUGACCGGGGGGUUCCCUGUCCCUCCUUGCUGCCAAAGCAGCCUGCUCAGCGCAGAAA